rnacentral:rRNA from 1 species
CGGUGGUAAAAACUCCGGUGGUAUGAGAUGGACCCGCGUCUGAUUAGCUAGUUGGUGGGGUAACGGCCUACCAAGGCGACGAUCAGUAGCCGACCUGAGAGGGUGACCGGCCACAUUGGGACUGAGACACGGCCCAAACUCCUACGGGAGGCAGCAGUGGGGAAUAUUGCACAAUGGGGGAAACCCUGAUGCAGCGACGCCGCGUGAAGGAUGAAGUAUUUCGGUAUGUAAACCUCUAUCAGCAGGGAAGAAAAUGACGGUACCUGACUAAGAAGCCCCGGCUAACUACGUGCCAGCAGCCGCGGUAAUACGUAGGGGGCAAGCGUUAUCCGGAUUUACUGGGUGUAAAGGGAGCGUAGACGGCAUGGCAAGUCUGAAGUGAAAGCCCGGGGCUCAACCCCGGGACUGCAUUGGAAACUGUCAGGCUAGAGUGCUGGAGAGGUAAGUGGAAUUCCUAGUGUAGCGGUGAAAUGCGUAGAUAUUAGGAGGAACACCAGUGGCGAAGGCGGCUUACUGGACAGUGACUGACGUUGAGGCUCGAAAGCGUGGGGAGCAAACAGGAUUAGAUACCCUGGUAGUCCACGCCGU